rnacentral:lncRNA from 1 species
GGAAUCUGGCCGACCUUUUCCUUCUUGGCUAUCAAGAAAAAAGCCUUCAAUACUCAGUAAUGCCAUAUGAUGGAACGAGAUGAGUGUAAUUCAUGAGAUUGACAGAGUAUUGGUCCAUAGCACUACUUCUCUUAUGAUACAUGAUGCUGAAGCUUUUUUUUUUCUCUUCGUGUACAACGGUGGCUUACAUCCGACAAAUGUGAAUACGGCCAACAAAAUCAGAAAACAAAGGCUAUAUAGAAGCUCCAGCGCAGACACGUGGUCCAUCCAGAUAAACCCUCCAGAGUGAUGAGCAAUAAAAGAGGCAAUCCAGUCAACAAUACAGUUUGCCUUAAUAAUGUAGCUUUUUCUUGGUACCAGAAUUGCACUACAGAGUAUUUUGGUUCAUUUAAUAUGAUAAAGUAUUUUGGUUCUCCAAGAGGACAUAAAACUAGUUUUUGGUGUGAGACAUGUGAGGUUGUGCAGUUAAUUUUGGAUCAAAUACCAACUUUGUUAUUCUAGGAACCUUUUGUGAUCUCAUUUUAGAAUGGGGUUAGAGUUUCUGUAAAGCCUUUUUCUAAUAAAAGCUGGAUGGCUUUGCCUCUCUUUUCAUUAAAAAAAAGAAAAUAUUUUUGAAUGGGGUUAGUAUUGAAUGAGAAGGGGUAGGAGUUGGGGGAAAGAGGGAUGGACUCCUAAUAAUCACUUGCAAGGCUUAAUUCAUUCUCUCUUUUUUAUUCUAUCUAAAAAUAGAUCGUUGUAAUGUAUUAUUCUCGAUGAAGAAAAG